AAGUCGUAACAAGGUUUCCGUAGGUGAACCUGCGGAAGGAUCAUUACAAAUCUCUGUAUGUAGGCUUCGGCUUGCAACAACAUUAGCACAAGGUCGCAAGGCUUUGAUGUUUACGCUUGUGUGUUUGACAGAGUUAUGAUGUGCCAUCAUGGAUAAUAAUAGACAACUUUUAACAAUGGAUCUCUUGGCUCUU
rnacentral:misc_RNA from 1 species